GACACCAGAGCCCGGACUCUGCUCCAAGAACCUGUGGGAUAAUGAAACUCCUCACUCUGAACUCCCCCGUGUGCAGCGGGAGCUCGUUUUACCUGCUCAUACUCAGGUUUUUUCCAAGCCAAAGCUCAUGGUUAUACAGACAGGUUGACAGGUAAAGUGACAGCUGACCCUUCCCAUGAAUCACCUCCUUGUCAAGACGGACAAGCUGGGGACCCAGGAGAGCCGUUGCUGGGAGCAGUUUGCUCCUGGUGGAGGAAUCAGGAAGUCUCACCUGUUUUUGGGGAAAAUGGAGCUUCACCCUGGAGGAAGCUGGAGGGAAGGCUGAUGGGAGAGAGCGAACACGGUCUGAAUGUCCUGCUGAUAUCCAUAAGUGAGCUGAGGACUGAUGCACUUCAGAGUAUGAACACCCGGAUGUUUCCAAGUAAAGGAUUGGAAAACUUUAUGAAAUCUUUUCAAAGCAUGAUUUCAUUUUACAAAGUCUGGUCAUCUUUUCACCACAGAAACAUUCCUGACCUGAACUUCAGAGCGGGUGAUCUUGAAAUGGGAUGAGAGUUUUCUGCUUGUGUCAUCUCAGGCUGAGUCUGGAAUAUUUCCAACAAACUUUACAUGUUUAGAUCGAAACUCUUGACAAUCUGGGGGUGUUUUCAUCACUGGAGUGAUAAUGAUAAUUUAUCAGAAACAUCAAAUUCAUUUCCUGUAAUUAAACGAGUUCAUGUUC